GAUGAACGCUGGCGGCGUGCCUAAUACAUGCAAGUCGAGCGAACAGAUGAGGAGCUUGCUCCUCUGACGUUAGCGGCGGACGGGUGAGUAACACGUGGAUAACCUACCUAUAAGACUGGGAUAACUUCGGGAAACCGGAGCUAAUACCGGAUAAUAUAUUGAACCGCAUGGUUCAAUAGUGAAAGACGGUUUUGCUGUCACUUAUAGAUGGAUCCGCGCCGCAUUAGCUAGUUGGUAAGGUAACGGCUUACCAAGGCAACGCUGCGUAGCCGACCUUGGGGGGUGGUAGGCCAACAGAGAAAUGGGGAAAGGUCCAAGAUCCUAAGGGAGGGCAGAGUAGGGGAACUGCCGCAAUGGGGGGAAGGCUUGAGGAGGAAACGCGGGGGAGGGGAGGAGGGCUUCCGAUCGGAAAAACCUUUUAUUAGGGAAGAACAAAUGUGUAAGUAACUAUGCACGUCUUGACGGUACCUAAUCAGAAAGCCACGGCUAACUACGUG
rnacentral:rRNA from 1 species